rnacentral:rRNA from 1 species
UACGGAGGAUGCGAGCGUUAUCCGGAUUUAUUGGGUUUAAAGGGUGCGUAGGCGGUCUGUUAAGUCAGCGGUAAAAGACCGGGGCUCAACCCCGGCAAGCCGUUGAAACUGGCGGACUAGAGACGGAGAGAAGUAAGCGGAAUGCGCAGUGUAGCGGUGAAAUGCAUAGAUAUUGCGCAGAACUCCGAUUGCGAAGGCAGCUUACCGGCUCCGGACUGACGCUGAGGCACGAAAGCGUGGGGAUCAAACAGG